rnacentral:tRNA from 1 species
AAAUAAGAAACAAAAUAUUGUAUUUAGUUUCGACCUAAAAUUUAGGUGGCGCCCACCCUUAUUUA